rnacentral:rRNA from 1 species
UGGGGAAUAUUGGACAAUGGGGGAAACCCUGAUCCAGCAAUGCCGCGUGUGUGAAGAAGGCCUUCGGGUUGUAAAGCACUUUCAGUGGGGAGGAAGGGGCAAGUGCUAAUAUCAUUUGUCAUUGACGUUACCCACAGAAGAAGCACCGGCUAACUCUGUGCCAGCAGCCGCGGUAAUACAGAGGGUGCAAGCGUUAAUCGGAAUUACUGGGCGUAAAGAGUGCGUAGGUGGUUAGGUAAGUUAGAUGUGAAAUCCCUGGGCUCAACCUAGGAACUGCGUUUAAAACUGCUUAGCUAGAGUAUUGUAGAGGAUAGUGGAAUUUCCAGUGUAGCGGUGAAAUGCGUAGAUAUUGGAAGGAACACCAGUGGCGAAGGCGACUAUCUGGGCAAAUACUGACACU